ensembl:lncRNA
UGUGUGUGUUUCCAUUUGAAAAGUGUAUAUCUUUAAGAGUUUAAAUCUCCUCUUGUGGCACAGCGGAAAUCGGCACAGAGAAAAAACGAUUAGCCGAUGAGCAUGUCCCUUCUCCCUAAGCCCUCCAGCAUCUCAGCAACAGCAUUCCACAUCAGUGAAUCAGAAUCAGAGGCGAGACACUAGAUGCUCGGCUGAGACGCGGGGUGGACUACACAUAAGGGGAUUGCCUCAACUGAGACGCCGCCAUCUUGAGCGGCCCCGACCUGACAAAUGGGAUAAAAUGACAGAUGAGGUAAAUGUUUGUUGGCCUUGUUAAUUAUUCAGCAGCCUCAUGACGCAGCGCAUUUAAAACCACGACUGAAAACUAUUGUCUUCACAAAGCAGAGUAUCAGCGCUCUACAGUUUCCGGAUGCCCAACAAUAACUCACGCGGCAGAAAAACAAUCAUGUGAGAGCGAUGUCAGGGUGCUAUUAAAUAUAUAUUGCAGCUGUUCCCCAUGAGUGGUUAAAGGUAAGUGAUUUGUGACAUUUCUUCUUGUGCCGAACGAAAGAGAAGAGCACAAAGAGCAGCGAGGAAAAUAAAGGGAAAGUGGUCAAUUGUCAGCUGUUCAUUUCAGCAAAGCUUACUGAUGCCUGAGUGGCACUGAACGGCUCUCGGCAGCAGGUUGAAGUCGUCUUACAGCCAGUAAUGGUCAGGGGCUCCAUCACCUCGGACUUAUCUCCAAAGUAAAAACAGCCUUUCACCCUGACAGCGAGGCCGACCCGGCCGUGUUACCUUGCAAGGAUUUGUUAUUACAAAGAUAUUGAAGUUGCUCGUCCAUCUGAUUUCACAUCUGUGCGUCCGAGCGAGACUGUGUGUGUGUGUGUGUGUGUGUCUCCAAGCAAGUGAUGCACAGCCACAGAUGACUGCGUAGUCUCAUCUUCACCUUUUUUUUUUUUAUUUAGUCCUGAAUCAAUCCCCAGAGUGUAACAAUACCUAUUAUUCGCUCUAUAAUUGGACUGUACGGCCGCACAUGUGAUGCCGGCGGAUGAGAGCUCCUACUGACAGUGGUGCCCGGCCUAUUAAUGGUAUUUUUUCUGGCAGCAAGGACGCCAGGAAUUUACCGUUAUUUUACGGUAUAAUACCGUCAAUGGUUUUUACACUAUGUUACGUAAAAUGGAUUACUGUAUGUUACCGUAAAAUUGAACGAAUUUUACUGUGAACUAACUGCAAUUUACUAGCAGUCGACGCUAGUAACUUACUGUUUUAUUUACAGUGCCCUACUGUAAUUUACAGUAUGUUGUCGUAUAUUGGAUAACAGUUUGUUACCAUACGAUUACUGUUUUUGUGUUAUAAAUACCAGAAUGUUACCGUUUACUUAUAACCGUAUACUUUUGCAUUUGAUUCCACACAAAUUAAAGAAAGACAUCCAAACUCAUUUUGGUCAUAGUGGUUGGAGUUUAUUAUAUGCCUUUAAGACAAAAAUGUUAGGUAUUUGUAAACAAGAACAAAACAUAAAAUAUGCCGCUUGUAUACAAUAAUAAAAAAAAUGAAUCAUAAAAUCAUUAGGAACAAGAUAAACUAACUGCAACAAUACGCUAUGCAACACUUUCAAUUGACUGCAGCAAACGGCUGGCGUCCUUAAUCCCUCUGUAAAACAAACCAAAAUUAAAUAUUUAGAAACACUGUCAUUGGUAAAAUAUUAAAAUUACAAAGUUGAGGAAGACAACAAGAUGUAAGGAAGGAGAACAUUAAUCAUGUUAGGCAAAUAAAACUUACCAACGUUACUUGGAUAGACGAGGCAAUGAGAAACUCCUCUGGUGUUGAACUGCACAGGUGUUCUGGAUGAACUGAGAUUACGCGUCUGACGUCACGUUCAGGCGCAGUCGGUCACGAUUAACACUCAAAUUACUUUUAGGCAAUGAACACUUUGAAUAAUACAAAUAUUUAUAAUCUUUACAUUCCGGCCACUGAAACGACAGCGAAGGCGGCGCGUGGAAUAGGGAGGUUUGUGCUGUGCAGCGUAAGGUCGGCGGUUUGAAUCCUGGCUGCUCCCUGUGCCAAGUCGAAGUGUCCCUGAGCAAGACACCUAACCCCCAAUUACUCUACAUAAAAUUAUGUCAAACCAUGGGCGUUUUGGAUAAAAGUGACAGCUGCAUGUAUAGUAAUGUCCUGUAAGUCAAAGUCAUCUAUCUCAUUAUGAUGACUUACAAGACCUGUAAUUCAGUGGCUGACAUGGGCUUCCAUACAUUAACCUACAACAGAUGUAGAGGGAUUGUGAUUCACUGCAUUUGUAUGUGGAUUUCCACCACUUCAUAAAAUAUAUGUUAACAUGCAGUUAAAUUAUGGUAGUCUGCUAUUAUUGUAAAUUGACAGCUUUAACUGUUUUUUCAUGACAUUGGCUGUUAAUUUACAAGCACGGGAUGGAAAUUUAACUGUAUGUUACAGUUAUUAUGACAUACUGUAAGAUACCGUUAGAAAUGCACCGUAAAUUUACAGCAAUUUGUUACAGUGUGGUGUAAUAGUGUCGAAGACUUCCGUGUAUGACAUAGAAUACCGUGGCAAACCAUAAAAACUUAGCAGGAUAACAUGGGAACAGAAACAUUCAAAACCUCGAGUGAAUAGAUUUUGUGAUAAAUAUAUAACAUUGUGUGUAUUUCGUUUAGUUUGAAUGCAUUGGUGUAACAAUUAUUACUGGUUGGUCAUUUGUUUAUUUAUUUUCAUUUAAUCGUUUUGAGAAUUAUCUUCACAAUCUGAUAUAUGAGGCCACGGUGCACAUCAUUUAAUUUAUUAAUUUAUUUACAACUUUCUAUGAUCAAGUGCUGCGUUAUGUACGUAUGACACACUUUGUAUGUUAUUUCUAACGGAAAGCGCAUUGGGGGAACGGUUUAAUGACUUCACCUAAAGUUUAGUAUAUCCAUCACGAUGUGCCCUCCUGACACUUUGGUCACUAGCAGCAGGCGGUAUGAUGUGGCUGAAGUGUAAGUGGCUCUCAGAAUGCAGGAUAGCCUGUCAGACGGAGGCCCUCAGGGGAACAACUUCACGCCGUGUCUGGUUCCAGAAUGGCCUUCACGCACACUCCCUCUCGUUCUGUCUCAUUCUCUGUGUGUGUGUGUGUGUGUGUGUGUGUGUGUGUGGGUGUGUGUCCGAAGUCGACUUGGAAGCUGGUCUCUCUCGUUUGGCGUGUGUGGGUGGUAGAGCCAGAGGGUGGAGGGUGUAAAUCUCUGUCCGGCAGCACGCUGCGAUGGGUGUUUGGGGAGCGGUUGGAAAGCUGGCUCACAGGCGCUCAGAUUGAUGAAGUGAUUGUGAUGGAUGGAGGUAAUAAAGGCCUGGAUGUCCUGUCUGUUGCCAGUGACGAGGCUGGUAUGAAUCACCCGUCUGGGGCUGCUGAACAUGACGCUACCCCAAUUCCCAGGGCCCCUCCACCCUUCCACCUCGCUCCGUCCCUCCGACCCCUUUUAUCUCUCCGCCUGUUGACUUACCGUGGUGACGAGGAGAUCGCUGCUUGACUGGAAGGCGGCGUAAACGUUCAACAGUAUUCCAUUUCUGCAUCAAUCUGUGCUGAUGCACACUUCAUUUUGAAUACAACAAUAUCAUGAAGCUAGUUCACCCGUCCCCGAAACGCAGCGCGCACGCAGUUCAAAGCAUUGCGAGGCGUUCAUUAAUUUUGUGCCCAAACAUCACUUGUUGAGUGAUUGCGAGACAUGCGUGAGAAAAAAAAAAAUCCAAUCAACUCAGCCAGCAACUCCUCGUGAAUAAGGUCAUUUGACUAAAGGCGGCCAUCGGAAAUUGCGGUGUUUGUGUCAACAUAACAAGUUAAUGAUCUUGGAUGAUAAUUGGUAGUUGGAUACUGCCGGCGUUGCGCUGUGGCACCGUUGAGGUUCAGCGACGGGGACCUCGUGUGAUAAAAGAAGCAGGCGUGAGGGCUUUUAAAGUGGCACGAUGCUGUAGGCGACAAUUCAUCACGAGCCCCAUGAAUAUUCAUCCAGCGCUCUCCGCGCUUCCUCCGGGGCUGGUGAAAACACGUCUGCAUUAAGUCUCUUCUCCGCGCUGCAGUUUGAAGACACCUGACCCUCCUGGCCUCUCAUUACCACACUGUGCUCUCGCUGCGGCCCCGCGCUCGGCAUGCCUGCCGGGGGGGGGGGAAAGUCGUGCUUCAUUAAAAUAAAGAGGAAAUUCUCCCGCUCUGUGCACUAACAAGGCAGAGGUCAGACAAGUCGGAUGAUUGUGAGUUCACCCCUUCUGCAGACAAUUCGCAGGGGGUCAGAGCUGAUGAUUGUGAUUGAGCUUGUUCUAUAAAUGAUGCACAAGCCCGAGCGGAGAGGCCCGGGCGGUGCGGUCUCUGCGUGGAGCCCGUCCGGGGACAGUUGUUCGCCCGCGAGUGCCACCAAAUCGGUUCGCUUCUUCAGACCUCGCAGGCUUCUCAGCACUGUGCCCAGAUUGCAGUUUAGGGACGGGGGAUCUUGACUGACAGGCGUUGGUCUGGGCCGUCCCUGGGGGGGGAGGGUGGGGGAGAGGAUUUGUAAUGCCUCCACUGACUCAUACUUCUCUCGCAGAUUUCUCCAGGCUGGUUUCAGACUGUCAGGCUGAGAGAGAAAGCUCCCUCUGCAUAAUUCAUUAGAUCUCCUUUCUGUUUCCCUCUUGGCGGUUGUGUGGCAGGCAGCGUAGCCCCAUUGUUUAAGAAGAAAGAGUAAUAGAGCUUGUCACAAUAUGUUACCAGAGUUUAUUGUUCGGAGCAACAGUUUGGAAACAAUUUAACUUCCAUUGAAAAGAGCUUUCUCCUUCCCCAGUGUGGAACAAUUAUGAAAAAAAAAAACGGAAUAAUCAGACGGCCGCAAAGAACGAACACCUAUAAACCACCAUAUUUCAUUUGUAAUAAGCCAGACCUAUAAACAACUUUGGACAGUGGACCCAAACAGGAAAGAGCUUUAGAGGUUGCUUUCACACAGAGCAUCGCUUCGCAGCCAAUUAUCCCACACGCGUGACACGUGCACAGGCGCGUCCUUUUGAAGCGUGUACGCCGUCUCGGGUCAAAAACGAUCUGGCAUUUAUUUUGCGGAAACCUGAAAAGAAAAAACAUCUCGCGGUUGAUGCUACAUGACAUUCCCUUUCACAGAAUAUGACUAAACAAGCACACCCUCAACCACACGAUGCAACGUGUUGCAGCAGCCGGAGGACAACUGCAUGUGAAACAGGGCCGAUGCAGAGUUGUGUUGACCUCUAAAACACCUCCGCAGAGAUGUUGCUGAGGGCGCUGCUCUUUGUUGUCUCUGCGCUGGCAUGCUCUAUGAAAUGAUUCUUGGAAUGGAAUCUCUGGUUUCAGGCAUUUUCAGUUUGCCGUUACAACAAUAAAGUUCAAGAGCGAAUCUGUUCAAUAGUCGACGUGGCGCAGGGGUAGAGAGGGUGCGCUGAUAACUGCAAGGUUGGUGGUUCGACCCCCGGCUGCACCAUGGCCCAUGUUGAAGUGUAAUUGUUCCCCAGGCAAAACUGUAAAAAGCUAUGGGUUAAAAAUGCAAUGCAAAGUCGCUUUGGAUAAAAGCGUCAGCUAAAUGACCUGUAAUGCAAUAGCAACUGAUCGGUAACUAACGCAAGGCAGAAAACUUAACGUAGAUCAUUGAGGAGUCUUGCUUUGUUUGGCAGAACAUGAAUGACGUAAAACAAAUGUUUUGUUGUUGAUAUGCAGAAAAUAUAAGCAAAGAAAUUCUACAUUUGUAUGAAACUUUUCCAAUAUAUACUCAUGCUGAAAAAAAAAAAACUUGACUUCCCCUGUAAACUUCUAAAUUAUCCGGCAGAAUUAAAGUUGCUGGUUCCGUUCUGUCCUGAAUGCCAUAGUUCCAUUUUGUCAAUAUAAAUCUUGAAAUUUAGAGUUCCCAUUUUGCAUACACAGCAAAACAAUUAUCGGGGGGAAAUAAUGCAAAACGAAACGCCCAUAAAAUGAGUGAAAUGAAUAUACAGUA